CAAUAGCGUAUAUUUAAGUUGUUGCAGUUAAAAAGCUCGUAGUCGGAUUUUGGCUGAGAACGAUCGGUCCGCCGUUAGGUGUGCACUGAUUGGUCUCAGCUUCCUGGUGAGGAGGUGUGCUUCACGGCCACUUAGUCACCGUGGUUACUUUGAAAAAAUUAGAGUGCUCAAAGCGGGCUUACGCUUGAAUAUAUUAGCAUGGAAUAACACCAUAGGACUCCUGUCCUAUUUCGUUGGUCUCGGGACGGGAGUAAUGAUUAAGAGGAACAGUUGGGGGCAUUCGUAUUUCAUUGUCAGAGGUGAAAUUCUUGGAUUUAUGAAAGACGAACUUCUGCGAAAGCAUUUGCCAAGGAUGUUUUCAUUGA
rnacentral:rRNA from 1 species